rnacentral:rRNA from 1 species
CGAAAGCCUGACGGAGCAAGACCGCGUGGGGGAGGAAUGCCUUAGGGUUGUAAACACCUUUUAUCUGGGAAGAACAAAAUGACGGUACCAGAUGAAUAAGCCUCGGCUAACUCCGUGCCAGCAGCCGCGGUAAUACGGAGGAGGAAAGCGUUAUCCGGAUUUAUUGGGCGUAAAGCGUUCGCAGGUGGUUCUUCAAGUCUGCUGUUAAAGCGUGCAGCUCAACUGCAUAUAGGCAGUGGAAACUGUUUAACUAGAGGAUGGUAGGGGUAGGGGGAAUUCCCAGUGUAGCGGUGAAAUGCGUAGAGAUUGGGAAGAACACCGGUGGCGAAAGCGCCCUACUGGGCCAUAACUGACACUGAGGGACGAAAGCUAGGGUAGCG